GAUGAAGAACGCAGCGAAAUGCGAUAAUUAAUGUGAAUUGCAGAAUUCCGUGAAUCAUCGAGUCUUUGAACGCACAUUGCGCCUCAUGGCAUUCCGUGAGGCAUGCCCAUCUCAGCGUUAGAAAAUAUUCUCAAAUUUUAGUUUUGUGCUAAAAUUUGGAUCAUGUCAAAGAAGCUAUUACUAUUAUUGUGAUCGCUCUUUGGAAAUUGAUAGGUCUUUGAGUUGCUACUCAUAGAACGUGAUGAAUCUUUCUUCGUUCUAUUGUAAUUCACUCUGGUAGUCCUAAAACUUGUAUGCCUGUGGCAUAUAUUGUAAUUUGACCUGAGAUUGGGUAGGGAUACCCGCUGAACUUAAGCAUAUCAAUAAGCGGAGGA
rnacentral:misc_RNA from 1 species